ensembl:lncRNA
CAACCCUCUGAAAACUGCAAUUGAUGCAAUUGAUCUCUCAGCCCUCACUGUACAGGAUCAGGACAGGUAUUUUGCGAAAAUUGGUGAUUUGUCAUGACCUCAGUUGGUAAAAGUGGUCUUCUACUUUGCAAGUAACUCUCCAGAGUCCCUGUCUCUCUGUUUGAAGAAACCUACCUGCAGCCAUCUCUGGAGUUAUACAGCCACAGCUGGACCAGCACUGCCACACCUUCCAUGUGUGACGCUCUCUUUGGAAACACAGACUUAGCUGGAACCCACCUGCCUGCCUGCUGAUUCUCCUUAGAGUCACCUUCUCUCUGUCUCUGAGCCUAGCCUGCCCACCAUCAACCCCCUCUCUCAGUUCAACGUCCUGCCUGGACAAUUAAGAUUACAGAGACUGUGACAACGUUCAUCAUAAACAUCCUUUAGCACUGGCUGCCAUUAACUGUCUCCCUCCCUUUCUGCACAUCCUCCAUGGGCCCUACUAUUGCUGCCACUC